AAACACGGACCAAGGAGUCUAGCAUGCGCGCGAGUCAUUGGGAAUUACUAAACCUAAAGGCGUAAUGAAAGUAAAAGUUCGUCUCGCACGAACCGAGGGAAGAUGGGCGGUGGACCGUUAAAAGUCGCCGCUCCGCAUUCCCGGGACGUCUCGCUCUCAUCGCGAGAAGAGGCGCACCAAGAGCGCGCACGCUGGGACCCGAAAGAUGGUGAACUAUGCCUGGUCAGGACGAAGUCAGGGGAAACCCUGAUGGAGGUCCGUAGCGAUUCUGACGUGCAAAUCGAUCGUCGGAACUGGGUAUAGCGGCGAAAGACCAAUCGAACUAUCUAGUAGCUGGUUCCCUCCGAAGUUUCCCUCAGGAUAGCUGGCGCUCGUUGCGUACGAGUUUCAUCCGGUAAAGCGAAUGAUUAGAGGCAUUGGGGUCGAAACGACCUCAACUUAUUCUCAAACUUUAAAUGGGUGAGAUCUCCGGCUUGCUCGAAUAAAAUAGAUGAAGCCGCGAGUUAUUAACUUAAACAGAAUCAGAGUGCCAAGUGGGCCAUUUUUGGUAAGCAGAACUGGCGCUGUGGGAUGAACCAAACGUCGAGUUAAAGCGCCUAAAUCGACGCUUAUGGGAUACCAUGAAAGGCGUUGGUAACUUAAGACAGCAGGACGGUGGCCAUGGAAGUCGGAAUCCGCU
rnacentral:rRNA from 1 species